UUCUUCUUCCCCGAAACACACACGACACACACAGUUAUUUUUCUUCCCUCCGGCCGUCCCUCUCUCUCUCCCGUGUUUUUGAAUUCCGGCCACCCAUAGCCCUCACGCGCCAGCCACCAAGGAAGCCCGCCACCUCGCCAGCUUGGCCGCCAAGUUUCACGGCCAGCCGCCGCCGGACGCGCGCCGAUCGGGCCAGAGAAGCCGUCGGCCGGCCAAGUUUCUCUCUCCUCUUUUCUUGUGUUUUCCGGCCAGCCUACUCCCAAUUGAGCCUCCUAUCCCCCUAUUUUGGGUCCUCUGAAUCCAAAAAUGGCCUCCAAUCCCAAAAAUUCGAAGCGGUUUGCGAGAUAUGGAGAAGUGAACACCGGCCGAACCUUUCCGACCAAAUUCCGGCCACCUCCGGCGGAAUUGGGGUCGACGGAGACCGGAUUGGUGAUCCUCGUUCCACGAGCUUCGAUUCGGAGCACCGGUGAGUCGUAGAAUUGAUCCCGUGGUGGAUCAUGGGUUAAUUGCGUGCUCCAGGUCCAGGUUGGAGACGUUGAUUGUCCGGGGCGAGCCCAACGUCUCAGUUCGUUGCCGAAGGUUCAAGAAGCUUUUUCUUCCCUUUUUCCUCUCUAUCUUGUAUUACAUUCUUAUCCGUCAUUUUAUAGAUUCCACAUUUGUUGUAUAAUGCUCUGUAUACUGUAUUGUUGUUCUUAUGCACUGGGUUGCUACUGUGGUUUUAUUUUGAAGUGCUGCAAUUUGUGGAACCAACUUGUAGUUUGUGGGAGGAAUAAGGAGAUGUUUUUAGAAGUGUGUUUUCAGUGCAGGUAGUUUGUGGUAAUUAAAUCCCUUAGGGGAGGCUCUGCCGGAUUUUCCGUUGGAGGGUUCGGUAGGGUUUCCCUGGGAUCAGGGCUGUCUAGGGUUCCGGGGAAGGAAUUCUGGACGGGUCCUGACACG